rnacentral:lncRNA from 1 species
UUUAAAAGAGAGUGACAUACCAGGCACCUGGGUGGCUCAGUUGGUUGGGUGUCCAACUCUUGAUUUGGGCUCAGGUCAUGAACUCACAGUUUGUGAGUUCGAGCCCCACGUGGGGCUCCGUGCUGGCAGUGUGGAGCCUGCUUAGGAUUCUCUCUCUCCCUCUCUCUCUCUCUCUGUCCCCUGCUUUCUUGCUCUCUCUCUCUCUCUCUCUCAAUAAAUAAACUUAAAAAAAAGAGAGAGGUUUACAUACAUCUCAGGGAGACAGAGAUAUAGCAUUUACAAUGUCAACUUUUCUAAAGGAAAUGCUGAAGUGUGGGAGAGGGUCUGGUUUUCCUGUCAUGCACCAGAGACUCAAUUUCUCUAGUUCUAGGUUUGUAUUCACCCUUACAGGGCACACUCAUACAUAUAUACACACUCACACACCGCCAUAGACACAUUAUAGGCACACACGCUCUUAUACACAUAUACACAUGCAUCUGCAUACACACAUAACAUUCUCAUAAACACUCACACACAUGCAUACAUGGACACAGACAUGUAUGGUGGUGCUCGUGGCCUUGUCCACAUCCCACCAAUGGAACCGGGUUAUAUACUUAGUUCUCCAUCUUGCCUUUUUCACUUGACAUUGCACCACAGAGAUUGUCUCUUCCUGGUAGAGGAAUUAACGAUAAUUAAUGGUAAUGCAGACCCCUAACUUUAAAAAAAAAAUUUUUUUUUCAACGUUUAUUUUAUUUUUGGGACAGAGAGAGACAGAGCAUGAACGGGGGAGGGGCAGAGAGAGACGGAGACACAGAAUCGGAAACAGGCUCCAGGCUCCGAGCCAUCAGCCCAGAGCCUGAUGCGGGGCUCGAACUCACGGACCGCGAGAUUGUGACCUGGCUGAAGUCGGACGCUUAACCGACUAUGCCACCCAGGCGCCCCGUGCAGACCCCUAACUUUUAGGUGAGCCAAUAUUCCCCUAGGCGCUUCAUCUACAUGCAUGCUUUUAACCCCCAUACCCUAAGGGUUGCAUACUACUAUACCCCCAUUUUACAGAUGGGGCAACAGAGGCUCAGAGAGGCCCCGAGGGCCACACCUGGUGCUGUUUCGUGGUCUUUAAGCAGUGACGUUCUCCACCACGUGCAUGCACAAGACUUUCUAUGUUCUGGAGAGACUGAAGAGGGGAGUUCCCAGAGCAGUGCAUGGACCAUGCUCUGA